UACGUAGGGUGCAAGCGUUAAUCGGAAUACUGGGCGUAAAGCGUGCGCAGGCGGUUAUGUAAGACAGUUGUGAAAUCCCCGGGCUCAACCUGGGAACUGCAUCUGUGACUGCAUAGCUAGAGUACGGUAGAGGGGGAUGGAAUUCCGCGUGUAGCAGUGAAAUGCGUAGAUAUGCGGAGGAACACCGAUGGCGAAGGCAAUCCCCUGGGCCUGCACUGACGCUCAUGCACGAAAGCGUAGGG
rnacentral:rRNA from 1 species